GCGCAUUAGCUAGUUGGUGAGGUAACGGCUCACCAAGGCCACGAUGCGUAGCCGACCUGAGAGGGUGAUCGGCCACAUUGGAACUGAGACACGGUCCAGACUCCUACGGGAGGCAGCAGUGGGGAAUAUUGCACAAUGGGCGAAAGCCUGAUGCAGCAACGCCGCGUGAGUGAUGAAGGCUUUCGAGUCGUAAAGCUCUUUGAUCAGGGAUGAUAAUGACAGUACCUGAAAAACAAGCCACGGCUAACUACGUGCCAGCAGCCGCGGUAAUACGUAGGUGGCGAGCGUUGUCCGGAAUUACUGGGCGUAAAGGAUGCGUAGGUGGAUAUUUAAGUGGGAUGUGAAAUCCCCGGGCUCAACCCGGGAACUGCAUUCCAAACUGGAUAUCUAGAGUGCAGGAGAGGAAAGCGGAAUUCCUAGUGUAGCGGUGAAAUGCGUAGAUAUUAGGAGGAACACCAGUGGCGAAGGCGGCUUUCUGGACUGUAACUGACACUGAGGCAUGAAAGCGUGGGUAGCAAACGGGAUUAGAUACCCUGGUAGUCCACGCCGUAAACGAUGGGUACUAGGUGUAGGAGGUAUCGACCCCUUCUGUGCCGUCGUUAACACAAUAAGUACCCCGCCUGGGGAGUACGGUCGCAAGACUAAAACUCAAAGGAAUUGACGGGGGCCCGCACAAGCAGCGGAGCAUGUGGUUUAAUUCGAAGCAACGCGAAGACCUUACCUAGACUUGACAUCUCCUGAUUUACUCUUAAUCGAGGAAGCCUUUCGGGCAGAAGACAGUUGUGCAUGAUGUCGUCAGCUCGUGUCGU
rnacentral:rRNA from 1 species